rnacentral:rRNA from 1 species
GACCAACCCUCAAAGACUGCUGCAUCUUUAGGAUAUUCUAGUCCAACAUCGAGGUCACAAACUUUCUUUUCGAUAAGAACUCUCGAAGAAAAUUAUGCUGUUAUCCCUAUGGUAACUAACUUCAUUAAUCAGGAUUCCUGGAUCAAUACUUGUGAGUUAUUUCAGAUAGUUAAGAAGCUUUGUUUGUUCCUUAGUCGCCCCAACCAAAAUCUUAGGCAGAUUAACAUUUAAAUUUAUAAGUUAUGUUCAGUCUAUUUUUUUAAAGCUCAAUAGGGUCUUCUUGUCUAUCAAUUAAAUCUAGGUUUCUUCACCUAAAAAUCAAGUUCUAAAAAUUUAUAUAGAGACAGCUUUGCUCACGUCAAACCAUUCAUACUAGCCCUCAAUUAUAGGGCAAAUGAUUAUGCUACCUUUGCACGGUCAGAGUACCGCGGCCGUUAAAAAUCAGUUCACCGGGCAGGUCCGACUC